rfam:Triticum aestivum genome assembly, contig: Triticum_aestivum_CS42_TGACv1_scaffold_578951_7BL
GACGUACUCCCUCCGUCCGAAAAUACUUAUCGGGGAAAUGUAUGUAUCUAGACAUAUUUUAAUUCUAGAUAUAUCCAAUUUUAUCCAUUUGUACGACAAGUAUUUUCGGACGGAGGAAGUACGAC